GAUAAGGAAGUUUGUUGGUGGUUUUUUCUUUUCCCUCUUCCUAGGGAGUAGGUGCGGGACGUGCCUCGGCAACCUUUGCCCUGGAGCAGCGGGUCCGGUGUGCGCAGCGAGGGCCGCGCUGGCUGAAGCGCCUCAGCGCGUUCCCCCCCGCUCUGGGCGCGCCUCUGGCCGCGGAGAGCAGCCAGCCCGUCCCCCGCGCCUCCCACAGCGCCGGAAGCGGGUCGGGCCCCCCCAGACCCCGGCUCCCCCCAGCCCGGGUGCCAGCAGACCCGGGCCGGGCCGCCCUGAGGGCGGGUGGCGUCUACACACCUCUGAGUCUGGCUUGGGAACCUGCGAACUGACGUUCUGGGUGUAAAGAUGUUCCUGGAGUUCGUUUUCAUAUUAACCACGAGUAAUAUUGCAGGAUCUGGUAACAUGUCAUAGUGGUUGUCUUAGAUAACUUUGUUUCUUGGUUUAAUUUUGAGAUAAACAUUAUUUUCAUGUAAAGGUCUGCUUAGCUACCCUGAGAGAGGUACUGAGGUACUUAGUGGAGAGACCAUAAACACCUUACAAUUUAAAGAAAAAUUGCUUCUCACUUAUAUAAUUUUACAUGUAUUGGAAAAAAAAAAAAGAGCCUGUAGAUUAAUCUAGUUAUGUCAACAAACCUUUGAAAUAAAGGUCUCUCUCUAAUCUCUAAACCUAGAUAGAUAGGUUUACAGAUAGAAGAGCACACAGCGUGAGGCAUCUUGGUGUAGGUCAUGUAGAUGGCUGUGAAGGGACUUCAAACAACUUGCAGUUGAGGCAAGUUCUAAGUGUCUAGUCGGUUCUCAGGUCUCAGCUGGUAAUCAGUAAUUAAGAAAAACCACAUCCAGUGCUGAAUCACUUUUAAGUCAGUGCUGGUUUUUCUACACUUGAUCUUCCUCCCGUCAUGCCAAAGGCAAAGAAAUUGCAGCUGUCACUCAAGCCAAGUUGUAAUUAGUACAAAGGAUGUUGUUAAUUGUUAAGUAUAGUUUGCUGUCAGACAGUGUCCAGGCUAAUUCAAGUCUUCCCAUCCUUUAUCUAGUAUGUUUUGGUUUUACACUGCAAAAGGAUACAUAGAGAAUACAGUCUGUAAAUCUGGAUAAAAAUCUGUGCUCCUGGUGUAGCAGAAGAUAGAUUACAGCUAUGUGAGCAAGACAUGGAUAAAAUCUCUUAUUGUAUCACUUGGUAAUUAGAAAAUUGAAAGGAGUUUGAACCGCUUUCCAUUGCUGUCUUCUACAGCAUGCUUUGCUUAAUGAGCUGUAGGAAAACACAGAGUGCAAGUGAUAGAAGAUAGUUCUCCAUUUUUUUAAAGCUAUUGCUUUGCCUCUUUUCUUGCAGAGAGAGGGAGGGAGGAAGGGCCUCCUGAAGAUGAUUUGUGCUUGAGGCCGUUGUGCAGUUAAUUUUAUUGCUAUGGGUUUAUGAAGUAUCGCCUGAGAUAAUGUUUUUUCUGUUGUGCAUUCCUCGCAUGGUUGGAGUGCCAUGCGGUGGGUGUGGUGGCAUGCUUAAGGAGUCAGGGCAAAUUCAUUUCAAGUCACUGGAACCAACCUAAUGAAAAGUAUUAAUCACUGCUUUGCUUUCAUCACAAGGAGCUGAUGUAUGAGGAAGGAAUGUGAUAAACAAUUUGAUUUCAGAUAAAGGUAGGGAGAGAGGUAGGCUUUUUGUGCCGUUUGUAACACAAGUUUAUAGAGCUAUUUUAGUCACAAGUUCUGUAAAACCUGUGAUUCAGACUUGAUCAAGCUAUUCGUGGCACGUUCAGUUCAGUUUCAGCUCUGUGAAGUUGAAAGACAGGUUUGGUUUCCUAAUCUCUGGACAGUUGGGGAAGUUUUUUGAGAGCCUUUUUUUUCUUUGUUUGUUUUGGUGUAGAAAUUCAAUCACUAAGUCCACCAUGGAGUAUAGUGGGGUUCUACCAUAAUGCUUCUUUCCCGUCUCAAGAAUUCCCACUUUUUAAGUGGAGUGGAAUUCCAUACAACCCUCUUGGGAGCUGAAAGAAUACUUCCAAGAAUAAAACACAGAAAAUGUCUGCCAGUGUGUAUUAGAAGUUAUUGAUGACCCACCUAAACUUUUAUUGUAUAAUUCAUGGCUUAUACUGUUUUUAUAUUUAACAUAAACUAUUCUUUAUUUACACUGUCAGUGCCAGCUCAGAAGAGGAGUUGUUAAAUUCAGUACAUUGUGAUCUGAUCUUGGAUUGGAGUUGAUGAGAGGUUGGUUUUUUGUGGGUUUGUUUGUGGGGUUGUUUUUGUUUUUAUGAGAACAGAAGAAUAAAAGGGGAAAAGAGAAGCUUUAUAUAAAAAAUAAGAUCAUACAACAGAUUCCCCUGCUUUCUUUAAAAAAAUAAAAUCUGUAUUUACAGGAUUUCAUUUUUACGUCUUCUGCAAUUUUGAUGCAUUAAACUUGCAUACCAGUUACAUUUCCCUACAAAGAGAGGAGUCUUCAGGAUCGGUGUAUACGCCCGGGAUGGACCAGGGGAGCAAACAGAGAGUUAAGAUGGGAGAAUUUCUGUGUUCUUAUUCUGCCUCUGCUUUCUUCUUUGGCUGCCAGCAAAACAAUGAGCCUUCCCCUUGACACUCCUCUUCCAGGCACCUUUAGUUGUUAUUUUGAUGCAAUAUUUACUUACCUGUUGGUGAUAAAAUGAAUUGAUUAUUUUUAAAGUUCGUAUAUGAGAUCUUUUUCAAUGAAAUAUUUCUAGUUUCCUGGGGUUGUGGAUUUUUCUUUCAGUUUGUACUUUUGUUAGAUUUUGUCUAGCUUUAUGGGAAAAGUUGUCUUUGUGUCAUACUGCCUGCCAAAUAAACAUUUGUUUCUGGUGUGCUAUAAAUCUUCA